AAUCAACGCUGGCGGCGUGCCUAACACAUGCAAGUCGAACGCGAAAGCCCCGCAAGGGGUAAGUAGAGUGGCAAACGGGUGAGUAACACGUGGGUGACCUGCCUUCGAGUGGGGGAUAACGUCCCGAAAGGGACGCUAAUACCGCAUGACAUCCUGCUUUUGAAAAAGCGGAGAUCAAAGCUGGGGAUCGCAAGACCUAGCGCUUGAAGAGGGGCCCGCGCCUGAUUAGCUAGUUGGUGAGGUAACGGCUCACCAAGGCGACGAUCAGUAUCCGGCCUGAGAGGGCGGACGGACACACUGGGACUGAGACACGGCCCAGACUCCUACGGGAGGCAGCAGUGGGGAAUUGUUCGCAAUGGGCGCAAGCCUGACGACGCAACGCCGCGUGGAGGACGAAGAUCUUCGGGUCGUAAACUCCUGUCGAGCGGGACGAACGCUUCGCGGAUGAAUAAGCCGCGGAAUUGACGGUACCGCUAAAGGAAGCCCCGGCCAACUCCGUG
rnacentral:rRNA from 1 species